GGAUGCGAUCAUACCAGCACUAAAGCACCGGAUCCCAUCAGAACUCUGAAGUUAAGCGUGCUUUCGCGAGAGUAGUACUAGGAUGGGUUCCCUCCUGGGAAGUCCUCGUGUUGCAUUCC
rnacentral:rRNA from 1 species